UAGGGAAUCUUCGGCAAUGGGGGCAACCCUGACCGAGCAACGCCGCGUGAGUGAAGAAGGUUUUCGGAUCGUAAAGCUCUGUUGUAAGUCAAGAACGGGUGUGAGAGUGGAAAGUUCACACUGUGACGGUAGCUUACCAGAAAGGGACGGCUAACUACGUGCCAGCAGCCGCGGUAAUACGUAGGUCCCGAGCGUUGUCCGGAUUUAUUGGGCGUAAAGCGAGCGCAGGCGGUUUGAUAAGUCUGAAGUUAAAGGCUGUGGCUCAACCAUAGUUCGCUUUGGAAACUGUCAAACUUGAGUGCAGAAGGGGAGAGUGGAAUUCCAUGUGUAGCGGAGAAAUGCGUAGAUAUAUGGAGGAACACCGGUGGCGAAAGCGGCUCUCUGGUCUGUAACUGACGCUGAGGCUCGAAAGCGUGGGGAGCGAACAGG
rnacentral:rRNA from 1 species